rfam:Cicer arietinum chromosome Ca2, whole genome shotgun sequence.
GUGGAAUUGAUGAUUAUUUCCCCAGAUGAUCGAAUCUGAACAUAUUGUGCGAAUUUUUUUUCUCUUUAGAGAAAUCAAGCCUAAUAAUCUGAUCCAU